CAAUCGCCUGCUUCUCGCCCUACACCCACCCGACCCGCCAAACGAACCCUAGCGCUCUUUCUCCUUCCCCUCCAUCCCCACAAGCCGCCACACCCCUCCCUCUCUCCCUCAUCCUCUCCUCACCUGCAGCCGCCGGCCUUGUCUCUCCACUCGCCUCCUCCUCUCCUCUACCACGUCGUCGUUGAUCCACCGCCGACCUUCUCCUCUGCUUACCUCCUCCUGUCCUCUUCCAUGUUGCCGUCGAUCCAGAUCGGACGUAUCGUCGUGGGGGAGCAGCGCCGGCAGGGUCAUCGCGGUGCAGGUGUGGGGUAGGAUGCAACGACAAGGGGAAGGAGGAGGCCGGUGAGGAAGUCAAGCAACAACGGGUGGGGGUAAGGGGCAGGGUGAGGCCUCGCGCACCUGCCGGCGGCCGGCGGGUCGACUUGUCGCGCCACCGCGUCGUCGUCUCCUCUGCGCCAUGAGGUGCCACCUCUGCCUCCACCCCCCGCCGGGCAAGGAGCUCGAGGUGAACAGGCGGUGUGGGAAGGCGAGAGGAAGCAGGAGCUCAUGUCUCCUCCAAUGGAUGUCUCGUGCAUCUGGAGUACAAGGAGAACAACACGUGCCUGUUGGAGGUGGCUCGAGCGAUGCAGGCCAGCGGCGAACUUGAUCUGACAUAGAAGACCACGUUCCUCAGGGAUCCCAGAAUCUAUUAGACAAUAUGGUAGUCCAAUGCUUUUUUGAAGUAUAUAUUGGCACUAUGCUGAAAAAGGACAUGGCAGGAAGUGAAGACAGCCAGUCAUCGCGCCAUAUUCCCGUGAGCUCCAUUCAUAUUACUAUAUGCUUAAAACGUCGUGCUCUCCUUCUCUACAUCAUGUGGUAGUUUGCUAUCAAACUCUCAAAAAGGAAAAACAAUGUUACUCUGUUUUUUGGAGAACCUUCCUGUAGAGUACCUCGACAGAGACAUAUGCGAUCGAGGAUAUAUUCGAUGGAUUUUCACGCAAAACUUGGAGGGUAUUUUUUGCAGGUUUGUUGCUUGCUUUAUUGUUUUCUUACUUUCUGUUGUUCAAGACAAUAUCUUCCUAGCAUUGCUCUAUAAAUUUAAAUCCAUCUUUUUGUUCUUUGGAUUAUCAUGGCGUACUCGUCCUGUCUAAUCCAAGAAAGAGCCUUCAUGUUUGCAGAUAGUUUGGUGUUCUCAUGGUUAUUUUGUAGUGAUUUUCCUUCCAUUCAUUACUUGGUAACCAUCUACCGCAGCUCAGCUAUUGUCCAGUUGCUGUCCUUAUGGUGAGUGAUUGAUGGUGCAUGUUUUCCUAUUAGUUUCUUUCCAUGCCAAUGUCUGAAUUUUAUCUUGCCGUUUUGCAUUUCUCCAGGCCUUUAAUUCUCACUGUGAUUCCCCGAGAUGCGCUAUUAGUAGGCAUCCACUUCCUAACAAAAAUUUGGUGGUCAACUUGAACGAGUCAUUUAUCUAGCUACAACAACCUUCAUUGCUUUUGCAGUCAACUUGAACGAGUCUAUACCUGCCAAAUAUUUACACGUUAGUAUAGCCAGAAAGUCAGAUGAUCGUUCCAUGUUGGUUAGCCGUGAUAAAUCAAAUUUCUAGAGUAGCAGAUGAUUCGUGUCAGGUUUCAUUUAGAGAUUGAAAUAUGUCUUGACUCUAAAAUAAGUAGUACAACGUCCAGUUCUGCAUAGGUGAAAGCAUACUAUCUAAAACUGGACGGCCUUCUAAAGCUCUGAAACUACUAGUUGUGUAAUAUGUAUCCCCUUUUCAUACUCUAUAUAUGCUUUCUACUUACUAGGAAAAAAUGCGUGAGAACGAUGGCCUAGAGGACGCGAAUUGCACUCAAAUAUAUGCAGGUUUCUUGCCAAACUAACUGCCACUAUUUUAUUUCAGGUGCUUCUUCUGUAACUUAGUCUAUUUUGCUGGCUCUUCUCAUUUCCUGGCGAACUUUUUAGUCUGUACAGUCGAAUCGUUGGAUGUUGCUUUCUACUAUCUAUAGAGGUUCUAUCCAAACUAUUAGCUGCCUGACUUGAUUUUUUGAAAUACACCGUCCUGAUAGACCAAGUGGACCCACACAUUUCCAUGGGAUUUUAGAAAAAUAUAUGUGAAUUUGCAUACAUUUUCUAAAUUUCUAUCUUUUCUUAUCCAUGCUUCCCCAUAGAUAUAUAGCAGGCUCAAAAAAAAUGAAUGUCUGAUUGUGUCCAAAUUUCAAGGAAGCGUGCUUCACACUUCUCUUUCUGCAAUAUGUUUCAGAGUAUAUGAUUUAAUUUUCCUACUUUCCUAGUUACAAUACUGUGUACUUCAUUCUUAGGUUUGCUUUGGGAAAAAUAGGUAUACAGGUUAUUGAAAGCUCCAUUUUUCUCCAUUAUAUAGAUCAUAUAGCUUUGUGAUCAAAGGUAGGUUGUCACAUAUGGGAUGUUGCUUGUGAAAGUUAUAUACAGCCAUGAGUCCCUGGCAAAAUAAUCGCAGCUCAUGUUACUAGGAUCAGGGAACCUCGACCAUUUUUCUGAAACAUGUCGCAGCUCAUGUUCCUACUUUCUCAGCUACACUACUAUGUACUUCAUUCUUACCUUCACUUUUGGAAGUUACAUUGCUUUCUUUUCCCUCAUAAACUUGCUAACAAUAUUGGCGAAGUAAUCCCGACUUCAGAUUUCCCAUUGAAUAAAUAACUAAUUUAGUUUGUUAAAAAAUUGUAGGUCAAGAUCCAUGAAUAGGAGCAAGGCAUCACACCAGCUCUGAGAAGAAAAGGAUAUGAAGACAAAGAUAGACCAGUGUUCUGCUCCGAAGCAAAAACAUUUUGCAUGUAAUAAUGAACUAUAAUUUACCACAAUCUCUCUAAAAUAGGCCUACCUAUUACCAGUCCGUUGCUUGCUUUUGUAUUAGGAAGUAUGACCCAGUCAUAUAUAUUUACAUUCACGUUGUUUAGUUAUGGUUUGUAUGAAUGAAAUUACCUUUUUAAUCGAGCUUCAAAAUUCUUAUGUGCA